rnacentral:lncRNA from 1 species
GCUCGUUGAGAUAGCGCCUCGUGUGCACCACCAGCAGGUCCUCCUCUGAGGCCUCCCGAGCCUCCACCAGCAUGCCAUCGGACAGCAGCUUCUCUUCUGGAACCACAGAGCAAAACCCUGCUUCCUUUCCAGUUCUCGAAGCAGGCCCAGCCCCUAGGCCCACCCUCAGGCUGCAGGUUAGCCUCUGGCAGCCCCUCAGCAUACAGUGAACUUGUGGGUAUUCUGAGAAUGGCUGCCUCCUUAGGCCAGUGUGGCCAGUGGUUAGACUCUCUGUCCAAGGGUGUUGAACUUGAAACACACAGCAGUCUCCAUAUUUUCUGUGUUGCUGACAGCCACCAGGUGAACUCAGGUGGCUCAGGAUGGCAUGGCCUUUCUCUGCCUGAGCCUUGCUCAUCUCCCUUGCUAACCAAAGGAGAGCAGUGGCUCACAGGCAGCAGACGCCAGAGCUGAACAACUGCUGUUUUCAGAGUAUUG